rnacentral:rRNA from 1 species
UACGAAGGGUGCAAACGUUGCUCGGAAUCAUUGGGCGUAAAGCGCACGUAGGCGGCUCCAAAAGUCGGAUGUGAAAUCCCUGGGCUCAACCGAGGAAGUGCAUCCGAAACUGCGGAGCUUGAGUAUGGAAGAGGGUCGCGGAAUUCCCGGUGUAGAGGUGAAAUUCGUAGAUAUUAGGAAGAACACCGGUGGCGAAGGCGGCCCACUGGCUCGACACUGACGCUGAGGUGCGAAAGCGUGGGGAGCAAACAGG